rnacentral:rRNA from 1 species
UACGUAGGGCGCAAGCGUUGUCCGGAAUUAUUGGGCGUAAAGAGCUCGUAGGCGGUUUGUCGCGUCUGUCGUGAAAGCCCCACGGCUUAACCGUGGGGUCUGCGGUGGAUACGGGCAGACUAGAGGCAGGUAGGGGAGAAUGGAAUUCCCGGUGUAGCGGUGAAAAUGCGCAGAUAUCGGGAGGAACACCGGUGGCGAAGGCGGCCCUCUGGACCAAUACUGACGCUCAUGCACGAAAGCGUGGGGAGCAAAAGGG